rnacentral:rRNA from 1 species
AUUGAACGCUGGCGGCAUGCCUAACACAUGCAAGUCGAACGAGUGGCGGACGGGUGAGUAAUGUCUGGGAAAAUGCCCGACGGCGGGGGAUAACAACUGGAAAAGGUUGCGAAUACCGCAUACCAUCGGAUGUGCCGAGAUGGGAUUAGCUAGUAGGUGGGGUAACGGCUCACCUAGGCGACGAUCCCUAGCUGGUCUGAGAGGGUGACCAGCCACACUGGGACUGAGACACGGCCCAGACUCCUACGGGAGGCAGCAGUGGGGAAUAUUGCACAAUGGGCGAAAGCCUGAUGCAGCCAUGCCGCGUGUAUGAAGAAGGCCUUCGGGUUGUAAAGUACUUUCAGCGGGGAGGCGUUACUCGCAGAGGAAGCAACGGCUAACUCCGUGCCAGCAGCCGCGGUAAUAC